UGCAUUCACUACUGUAAGUCGCUCUGGAUAAGAGCAUCUGCUAAAUGACACAAA
rfam:Salmo salar isolate Sally breed double haploid chromosome ssa01, whole genome shotgun sequence.